rnacentral:lncRNA from 1 species
AAUUAAGUUACUUUUCUGAGAUUGAACUAGAAGAAUAAUACAUAUACAUUUGCCUGCUCUUGAACACUUGAUUGAUAUAAAGAAAGUAUGUGGAAGUGACAGAUGUCUUGCCUUAGUUCAGACUUGGAAUGGUCAUUAUGUUAGCUGGUCUUAAACAAAGAAAUCGUAACUGGGGUAGGGUUUUUUUGACCAACAAAGUUGCAAAUAGCAAAACAUCUGGGAUGUAUAAUAGAAGUCAUUAAUUAUAAAGGUUUUCUUUUAUUGAUUUCAAGAGAGGCCAAUGAAGUUCAAACCAGUGGAAAUCAGUGGAAAGAUACAAGAAAAUUGCAAGGUUGCACUGAGAUAAAUAUUUUCAUAUUUGGAGGUCUGCAGAAUAGCAAAGCAUCAAGUAGGCCUGUGCUAAAAUUAAGUUUCAGUAGUAACAAUACAAUCAGGAAGAUGCCAAUAUCUUGUCAAUUUUGUGCACAUGGAUUCAUCUUUUUCUGUUUAUUUGGAGACAAAUUAAGUUUAUUUUUUCAACACAGUGGCAACCAUAAUGUCAGAAGUCUAGCCAUAGUCUUCAGAAUUAUCUCACUACUGUUUUUUUCCAUCGCAUCAUGCCAUAGACCGUUUAGACAUACUAUCUGAUAACAUAAAGUCACAUAAUCAUAGGAAAUAUAAAAUUGGAAAAUAUUUCAGAAGUUCAUCCAAUCAAAUUCACCAAUCAAAUCUUUUUCACUUUUAGAGAUGCCUCUGUCCUUUGUGUCAUACCAACAGACAAGGACUGACAGGUAACGGGGUCAUCCAGAUCACCUUGAUUCUUGGAAAGGAGGGUCCUUAUCAGCCAGCAGCUACACUGGUUAGAAGUACAGUGUCUGGAAACCCACAGUGCUGCACUUAAUUUGCAGUACUGGACCAAAUAAAAAGUCAACAGGCCACCUGAGAAUCUGCAAUCACAGUAGAUUGCUCUUACAAUGGACAAGACAUGGAAUUUCAUCGUGACGACACUCCACUCCUAUGAAGUAGCAACAGGUGCAAAAGAGAUAUCCAAAAAUGGGACUCCUUCUAGGCCUGAAGUUAAGGAGGCUCUCCCAGUGGCCUCAGGUACAUGUUCAAUCAGAGAGGAGACAGAAUUAAGCUUAAAGUUAGAAACAUUCAGUGUGGAAAGAAGAGAUUCUCAUGCUCCAGCAAGUUUUAUUGGCUAACGGUGAGUGAUUUUACUCUACCUAACUCUAGACACUUGUGCUAACCAACACCAGCAUUUCAGUAGAUUCUUCUGCAUGGAAGUUUCAGAGAUCCCCAGCAGACUCAAAAAAUAUUAGCACUGACAUUUCAUCCUUGUCUACAUCCCUGAGGACGCUAUCCAUCAAAAUAAAUGCCAUCUUAAUGUAAGUGGCA